rnacentral:rRNA from 1 species
ACGGGUGAGUAAUACAUCGGAACGUACCCAGAAGUGGGGGAUAACGUAGCGAAAGUUACGCUAAUACCGCAUACGUUCUACGGAAGAAAGUGGGGGACCUUCGGGCCUCAUGCUUUUGGAGCGGCCGAUGUCUGAUUAGCUAGUUGGUGAGGUAAAGGCUCACCAAGGCGACGAUCAGUAGCUGGUCUGAGAGGACGACCAGCCACACUGGGACUGAGACACGGCCCAGACUCCUACGGGAGGCAGCAGUGGGGAAUUUUGGACAAUGGGCGCAAGCCUGAUCCAGCAAUGCCGCGUGAGUGAAGAAGGCCUUCGGGUUGUAAAGCUCUUUUGUCAGGGAAGAAACGGCCGAGGCUAAUACCUUUGGCUAAUGACGGUACCUGAAGAAUAAGCACCGGCUAACUACGUGCCAGCAGCCGCGGUAAUACGUAGGGUGCAAGCGUUAAUCGGAAUUACUGGGCGUAAAGCGUGCGCAGGCGGUUUUGUAAGUCUGACGUGAAAUCCCCGGGCUUAACCUGGGAAUUGCGUUGGAGACUGCAAGGCUGGAGUCUGGCAGAGGGGGGUAGAAUUCCACGUGUAGCAGUGA